rnacentral:rRNA from 1 species
GACGAACGCUGGCGGCGUGCUUAACACAUGCAAGUCGAGCGGUAAGGCCCUUUCGGGGGUACACGAGCGGCGAACGGGUGAGUAACACGUGGGUGACCUGCCCUUAGCUCUGGGAUAAGCCUGGGAAACUGGGUCUAAUACCGGAUAUGACUCCAUAACGCAUGUUGUGGGGUGGAAAGCCUUGUGCGGCUAGGGAUGGGCCCGCGGCCUAUCAGCUUGUUGGUGGGGUGAUGGCCUACCAAGGCGACGACGGGUAGCCGGCCUGAGAGGGCGACCGGCCACACUGGGACUGAGACACGGCCCAGACUCCUACGGGAGGCGGCAGUGGGGAAUCUUGCGCAAUGGACGAAAGCCUGACGCAGCGACGCCGCGU